rnacentral:rRNA from 1 species
CCCAGGAGCCACAAGUGGCAAUCACCUUUAUUGGGCCUAAAGCGUCCGUAGCCGGCUCUGUAAAUUUUCUGUGAAAUCGUUGCGCUCAACGUAACGGCGCGCGGAAAACACUGCAGGGCUUGGGACCGGGAGGAGUCAGAGGUAUUUGGGGGGGAGCGGUAAAAUGCUAUAAUCCCUCAAGGACCACCUGUGGCGAAGGCGUCUGACUAGAACGGAUCCGACGGUGAGGGACGAAAGCUAGGGGAGCAAUCCGG